rnacentral:rRNA from 1 species
AUUGAACGCUGGCGGCAGGCCUAACACAUGCAAGUCGAGCGGAUGAAGGGAGCUUGCUCCUGGAUUCAGCGGCGGACGGGUGAGUAAUGCCUAGGAAUCUGCCUGGUAGUGGGGGAUAACGUCCGGAAACGGGCGCUAAUACCGCAUACGUCCUGAGGGAGAAAGUGGGGGAUCUUCGGACCUCACGCUAUCAGAUGAGCCUAGGUCGGAUUAGCUAGUUGGUGGGGUAAAGGCCUACCAAGGCGACGAUCCGUAACUGGUCUGAGAGGAUGACCAGUCACACUGGGACUGAGACACGGUCCAGACUCCUACGGGAGGCAGCAGUGGGGAAUAUUGGACAAUGGGCGAAAGCCUGAUCCAGCCAUGCCGCGUGUGUGAAGAAGGUCUUCGGAUUGUAAAGCACUUUAAGUUGGGAGGAAGGGCAGUAAGUUAAUACCUUGCUGUUUUGACGUUACCAACAGAAUAAGCACCGGCUAACUUCGUG